GCGGCGAGCGAACGGGGAGCAGCCCGGAGUCUGAAUCAGCUUGUGUGUUAGUGGAACGGUCUGGAAAGUCCGACGGUACAGGGUGAUAGUCCCGUACACGAAAAUGCACAUGCUGUGAACUCGAAGAGUAGGGCGGGACACGUGGUAUCCUGUCUGAAUAUGGGGGGACCAUCCUCCAAGGCUAAAUACUCCUGACUGACCGAUAGUGA
rnacentral:rRNA from 1 species